GUUCUGCCAGAAGCCGAUCGUGGCGGUCUGACCUACGGCAAGGCUGUUGGCCUGCUCGCCGAAGUUGUAGUUCUCAGCAUCAACGCCUGAGUCAAGGUAAAUGUUGGAGAAUACAUUGUCGCUGAUGACUGGUAAUGGG
rnacentral:rRNA from 1 species